rnacentral:sRNA from 1 species
GCCAGGCGUGGUGGCUCAUGCCUGUAAUCCCAGGACUCAGGAGGCUGUGGCAGGAGGACACAAAGACAGCCUCAGCAACUU